UUAAGGGCGUACGGUGGAUGCCUUGACUUUAAGAGGCGAUGAAGGACGUGGCGUUGCUGCGAUAAGCUUCCGGAGAUUUCCGAAUGGGGAAACCCUGUAGAGUAAACCUCUACAACCUUGAGCUUUAUGUUCAAGGAGCAUACCCUGGGAAGUGAAACAUCUCAGUACCAGGAGGAGUAGAGAACAAUAGUUAUUUCCUAAGUAGCGGCGAGCGAAAAGGAAGAAGCCCAAACUCGAGUAGCAAUACUCGGGGGUUGUAAGGUAACAAUUUUUAUUUAUUUAAAGAAGAGUCAAAAAAUAAAUUAUUAGCUUAAGUUCUUGGAAAAGGGCACCAUAGAGGGUGAUAGUCCCGUCUGCGAAAAUAAUUUAUCUCUUUUAUUGUUAUUCUUGAGUACCCCAGGACAUGAAUGGCCGGGGGGAAUCCAGCGGAACUAACCGCUAAGGCUAAAUACUCUUAAAGAUCGAUAGGCAGCCCGAUUAGGGCGGUGAAAUAGACCUGAAACCGUAUGUCUACAAGGAGUCGAACUCCGUCUUCGGAUGGAGAACGGCGUGCCUAUUGAAGAAUGAGCCAACGAGUUUAUGCAUACUGCUAGGUUAAGUUGACUAAAACAACAAAGCCGAAGGGAAACCGAGUGUUAAUAGCGCGACUGUAUAUUUAUUUAUACGGGUAGAAUGCAUAAGACCCGAAGCCAGGUGAGCUUGCCAUGAGCAGGAUGAAGUAGGUCGAAAGACUUAUGGAGGUCCGAACGGGUAGAUCGUACAACGUCUUCC
rnacentral:rRNA from 1 species